rnacentral:lncRNA from 1 species
CCGAGUGCGGGACUGGGGCUCCUGGCUGUGGGUGUGGUACUGAGGCUUCAGCGGGUGCCGCCCGCCUAGAGGGAGUGGAGCGGUGAGCACGUCAGGGGUGGGGGGCGCAGGUCAAGCUUUCACCAGUUUUUAAUUCUUUGAUGGGGUAAAUUUGAGCAAUUUUCUCGACUUGUCGACAUUCGUUAUUAACUGAGCAGGAAUCAGGAGAGGAACCCGGUCCUCUCCACACAGCCCAGCAGAGAGCCUACGACUAGAUUUGCAUCUUUACGUCCUGCGCGGAGGCUGCUACACACAUGCAGAAGUCAUGCUGGUGGCCUGGACAGUGAAGGGAGAGAAGUGGAUUUGGGAGACAUUUAGGAGGUAAGAUUGCUAGGACCUUGGUGAUAGCUUGGACAUGGAGGGUGGAGGAGGAGGGGUGUCUAGCAGAUAAUGCUCUUAGGUUACCACCUGGGAUAUUAGGGAGAGUGAGCAGGCUGUUUUUUGUUUGUUAGGCAGAACUUGGUUUUGCGGUGCAGUAGGGUGCCUGGAGCCGAAAGCCUGACUUCCUCAUACAGGCCAGACCCCACAUGUGACUGCCAGGCCACUCUGAGGCUGAGAGAGAUGGUUUUGUCUGGCCUCUGUCCUGCACGUGUUUACGGAUGACCUCUGUGUUGGCAGAUUUGGGGGUCCGCCAGAUAGGAUCCUGUGAAGAGACCUCAAAGGUCUUUAGUCCAAUCUAUAAAACAUUUUUAUGUUGAUUAUAUCAUUUCCA